GACGAACGCUGGCGGCGUGCUUAACACAUGCAGGUCGAACGGAAAGGCCCUGCUUUUGUGGGGUGCUCGAGUGGCGAACGGGUGAGUAACACGCGAGUAACCUGCCCUUGACUUUGGGAUAACUUCAGGAAACUGGGGCUAAUACCGGAUAGGAGCUCCUGCUGCAUGGUGGGGGUUGGAAAGUUUCGGCGGUUGGGGAUGGACUCGCGGCUUAUCAGCUUGUUGGUGGGGUAGUGGCUUACCAAGGCUUUGACGGGUAGCCGGCCUGAGAGGGUGACCGGCCACAUUGGGACUGAGAUACGGCCCAGACUCCUACGGGAGGCAGCAGUGGGGAAUAUUGCACAAUGGGCGGAAGCCUGAUGCAGCAACGCCGCGUGCGGGAUGACGGCCUUCGGGUUGUAAACCGCUUUCGCCUGUGACGAAGCGUGAGUGACGGUAAUGGGUAAAGAAGCACCGGCUAACUACGUG
rnacentral:rRNA from 1 species